UUAAGGCCCAAUGCUUGAAACUUUUAGAGUAUAUAAUGGUCAUGAAGGAAUUGAUAUGCCGUGAUUACUCUUCUUUUUUAAUAGAAGAAAGUAAUUGAAAUGGCUAAAAUGGCUUCCUAUGCGUUCCCAAUCUUUUUCCUCAUUUUGUUUGCAUUUUAUAAUACUGCUAUUGCUCGAACAACUCGAGUCCCCAAAACCAUGGCAGUUGCAGAUGAAAAUAAAGAGAAUCCAAGGGUUAUUGGAGAAAGUAAAAUUGGAGUGGGCGAUCAUGGUUCACACCACGGCGGACCAGGUGGUCGCGUACCAGGUGGCCCUGGCAGCCAUGGGUGAUAUUUUGUCAUACCUAUAGAAAAUAAAUGCACGGGUUUUACAAGUUACAAAUUACGAAUUUAUACUUGUCUCGUGUAUGACAAUAUAUAUAUAUAUAUAUAAGCAUUUGAAAAUACAGUGAGAUAGAUAAUUAAAUAUAUUUUGUCAAAA